rnacentral:rRNA from 1 species
AACGAACGCUGGCGGCAUGCCUAACACAUGCAAGUCGAACGAGACCUUCGGGUCUAGUGGCGCACGGGUGCGUAACGCGUGGGAACCUGCCCUUAGGUUCGGAAUAACUCCCCGAAAGGGGUGCUAAUCCCGGAUAAUGUCUUCGGACCAAAGAUUUAUCGCCUUUGGAUGGGCCCGCGUUGGAUUAGCUAGUUGGUAGGGUAAAAGCCUACCAAGGCGACGAUCCAUAGCUGGUCUGAGAGGAUGAUCAGCCACACUGGGACUGAGACACGGCCCAGACUCCUACGGGAGGCAGCAGUAGGGAAUAUUGGACAAUGGGCGAAAGCCUGAUCCAGCAAUGCCGCGUGAGUGAUGAAGGCCUUAGGGUUGUAAAGCUCGUUUACCCGGGAUGAUAAUGACAGUACCGGGAGAAUAAGCCCCGGCUAACUCCGUG